GCAGCUGUAGCUCACUGGUAGAGCAUCUGUAAUCAGAAGGUCCCUGGUUCAAACUCCAGUGGCAUCUACA